GAGACACUGGCUGCUCUCCCUCAGCGACAGCAGCAGAGGACAGAAGUGCCCCUCCCCCAGCCAGUCAGCUCUGUAUGCAGAGCCCUGAGUCCCUGGCUGGGUGGGGGCUCAUUAAGCAGCUGUGGGGUCGUGCUGCUGCACACCUUGGAGGGAACCCUGGUUGAAAGGAAACAUGUGGAGCACCAACGAGUUCUAGUCAUGAUUGUACAUCAGAUCCAGAGGGCCCGAUUCCUAGAUAUAGAACUCGGCUAAUAAGAAUUGCUACUGAUUCUAAACAACAGGAAGCAACAAGUGUGAGCCACAGUCGUGAAGGAGCCAACCUCAGUCUGUUUAUGCCAUGACACAUCCUAGCAUCCAUUGUCAGAUACAGUCUCCUCUUGAAGCAGAUGCCUGGUCACGUUGAAUGACAUGAACCAUCUUAAAAGGAAUGUCACAGUGACAAGUCCCAGAGCCACCACAUUGACCCUGGCAAACAAGAGCUUAACAUCAGUGAAGGCUGAUGGAGGUGCUCCAGGAAGGAACUCAAAGCACCUCCUCCAGCAACAGGAGGCAACAAUCACUGGGGAAAGAAUGGGCUCUGAGCUCAGCUCUAGAAGCUGGAAGGACUCCAGACACUGCAGUGUGACAGCUAAACCAAGGAACAUCGGAUGCGAUGGAAUUGCUCUACAAGCAACCUUGCCAAAGGCCCUUUUGCUGCACAAAGCUGGCUCUAUCUUUGUAUAUUGAGGGAGCUAAAUCAAUGUUAAAUGCUUGGCUCUUUUCACAGGACAAUGACCAGGACCUAAGCUGCGUCCUUCCUUUUUGAUUGACACUUGAAACGUUGAGUUGGAAUCAGCCAGAGGCACUGCUACAAGCUUGAAGCCUCUGCUGGGGAUAACAACUGGUGACAUCUGCAGAAAGGCCGACAAAAGGCAGUUGAAAGCUGUGUUUGUUGCUUUCCCCUCUCAGAUCUCCUCCCUUUCAUGGAGCUCCUUACUUGCUUUAAUAUUAUGAUUCAGCACCUGGCUCUUUUGAACCUUGCUUUAAACUUCAAAAGGCGAGGUGGUAUUAACAAACAUGAAACGAAAAAGUGGCGGUAGUUUGAUUUACUGUUGUCGUCUUAUCAAGGGGGUUUUUUGUCACCAGCUGCCACUUUCUGUCAUCUUUGGAACCAUUAUCAUUUCUCUAAAAUCUAAAAGACUCCACUUAAUAACAGCUUUGAAUACAGGCAGGAUCUGUAACAUACACAGUUCUGGGGAUGACAGGACCAUCAAAUGAAAAGAAAGAUGUUGCCAAAAAAAAAAAAAAAUUAAAACAAAUAAAAGCUGUAGUACUUUUAAGUGACCUUGAUUUCAGAAUUAAACAAA